UACGAAGGGGGCUAGCGUUGUUCGGAAUUACUGGGCGUAAAGCGCGCGCAGGCGGUCUUCCAAGUCAGUGGUGAAAGCCCGGAGCUCAACUCCGGAACUGCCGUUGAAACUGUAAGACUUGAGGAUGAGAGAGGUGAGUGGAAUUCCCAGUGUAGAGGUGAAAUUCGUAGAUAUUGGGAAGAACACCGGUGGCGAAGGCGGCUCACUGGCUCAUUUCUGACGCUCAGGCGCGACAGCGUGGGGAUCGAAACAGG
rnacentral:rRNA from 1 species